rnacentral:rRNA from 1 species
GAUGAACGCUGGCGGCGUGCCUAACACAUGCAAGUCGAGCGUGAACCGUCAGAAUGAAACUUCGGUCGAGUGAAGAUGGGGAAAGCGGCGGACGGGUGAGUAACGCGUAGGCAACCUGCCCCGUACAGAGGUAUAGCCUCGGGAAACCGGGAUUAAGACCUCAUAAUACCAUUAUCUCACAUGGGAUCAUGGUCAAAGAUUUUAUCGGUAUGGGAUGGGCCUGCGUCUGAUUAGCUGGUUGGUGGGGUAACGGCUCACCAAGGCGACGAUCAGUAGCCGACCUGAGAGGGUAAUCGGCCACAUUGGAACUGAGACACGGUCCAAACUCCUACGGGAGGCAGCAGUGGGGAAUAUUGCACAAUGGGCGAAAGCCUGAUGCAGCAACGCCGCGUGAGCGAGGAAGGCCUUUGGGUCGUAAAGCUCUGUCGAGGAGGAAGAUAAUGACGGUACUCCUCGAGGAAGCCCCGGCUAACUACGUGCCAGCAGCCGCGGUAAAACGU